rnacentral:lncRNA from 1 species
GGCUAAGGGCCGGCAUCGGAUUCCCAAGACAAGAUAAUUAACUUCUUGCUCAAUCCCUCAGCAUUUGACCAAAAUACCAAGAUAAAAAUGUAGGCCCGUGUUAGUACAAAAGGUCCUGCAUUCAACUGUCCUCCUUAUAUUGCCCAAGAAGUCUUGUGGAAUUCCAAGAAGAAUUCAAGGGGCCAGACCUGGAAUAUGCAUCAAUGAGAAUAAGACACUGACGAAGCUAACGACACUAACGGGGAAUGAGGAUAAUCGACUCCUGUCCUUUGUUUUACUCUUUAACCUAGUAAUAAAUCCCU